UACGUAGGGUGCAAGCGUUAAUCGGAAUUACUGGGCGUAAAGCGUGCGUAGGCGGUUUCAUAAGCUUGAUGUGAAAGCCCCGGGCUCAACCUGGGAAUGGCAUUGAGGACUGUGGAGCUAGAGUGCGGCAGAGGGAGGUGGAAUUCCACGUGUAGCAGUGAAAUGCGUAGAGAUGUGGAGGAACACCGAUGGCGAAGGCAGCCUCCUGGGCCGACACUGACG
rnacentral:rRNA from 1 species